ACUUUCAGCGUUCUUCAAGACUAUAAACACCAUGCUUUGGAAAGAGGACGUCAUGAGGACAGAAAUCAAAUGAAGUAUAUGUAAGGAUAUAAUUGCUCUCAAGAAAAAAGAAAAAGAGAGAGUCAGUGACAUCACACAAGAAGCUGUCUCGGAUAUUGCCUGAGGAAAGAUACUGAUGAGUGUCCAUGGCACUCGGUGACACACUCACUCUGUCCUCUUUUCAGGACGUGUACACUGGAUUAAGUGCAGUGCUUUUCGUUUCUGGUUGACGACCCACACUAAACAUUAUUUUUGGAGACCGACCUUUCUUCCUGCCUUUAUUCGUGCUUCAUCCCUUCAUGACACCCUCUGUGACUUCAGGAUAUACUGUGGUAAACAUCCAUGACCACAAGUCUGUCUUGUUGACUGCACUCAAAUUUAAUUACAAACUUGGUGGACACUGUUUUCUUCUGUGCGCUGUGUCACAGAUCUGAAUAAAAAAAGCAGGCAGGUGCAGAACAACCAAAGACGUCCUGAAUGACUACCGAAAAUGGGAACUGUGAAGCAUGUAGUACCUGGGAAUGAUGCCAACUGCUGACAAAAGGCUUUACUGCAUGGCUCUGAGAGGAGCAUUAAACUCAUUUGCUCUGAGAUGCUAAAGGAACAUCUGGCACUGAAUUGUUUGGCAAACUGUAGUUAAAUCUAUCAAACCUGUCGGCUUUGUUACAAGACAGCAUCCACCAUGACCUUCUUUGUGGGUGAACAGUAGCCAGACCUACGUAUGCAAAAAAAGUCACCUCCAGUUUGACUGACAUGUUCCCACUGUGACCUGCAAAAGCAUCUGUCCUUAAAGCUGAGGUAGUAGAUUGAAUAGUUGUGGGGUUUGUGUCCUCCCUCUGAGAUAACUAUGCAAUCUACUGUCUUUCCUAAGGAGACAGGACUAUCUGCUGUGAUGCUAAAAGUCUGUGUGGAUCUACAAAGCUCCAUGGAUGAAGGGACUCACUGACAAUGGUGGAACUGAUGCCUUCUAUCAACGUACUUUGCAGUGUUCUUGUUUUUAAGGAUGCUGUGCUUGAAGUUGAGCCUAGCAAGGUGAGGUAGUAGGUUGUAUAGUUUGUGGGAUGGAGUGAAUCCUACUCAGGCGAUAACUAUACAGUCUAUUACCUUCCUUGAGAGGUACAAUGAAUGCUUUGGACUUAACCAUCUCAGCCAACACAGAAGAGCCCCCCAAAUGCCAUCUUGUGGCCAAAGCUUAUCAUUACCCUGUAAACCACAGUAAAACCAACUCACAAACAUUUGAAAUCUAUUUAUUCAGGAUUCACUAGAGUCAGUUUCAAUAAAUCAAAGAUAAUCUAGUAACAAUAAUGAAAACCAACAAUUUGCAGUGCUAAGCUAACAGUAAAUGUACUCUUCAGCUGUAUAAUCACAGUGUCAAGAUGAUUGUCCUACAUGCAUAUUCACUGCAUCAAAGUAUAAUGAUUUGUUUUAAAUGUAAUAAAAAUAUCACAUGCUGCUACUAACACAUUCAAUGUCAACAUUUGAAUUUGUUUCACUGCUCUUUAUACAAUAUCAAUAUGAAAUCUAUUUGAAUUGUAAUUCA